rnacentral:rRNA from 1 species
UACGUAGGGUGCAAGCGUUAAUCGGAAUUACUGGGCGUAAAGCGUGCGCAGGCGGUUAUACAAGACAGGCGUGAAAUCCCCGGGCUUAACCUGGGAAUGGCGUCUGUGACUGUAUGACUAGAGUGUGUCAGAGGGGGGUAGAAUUCCACGUGUAGCAGUGAAAUGCGUAGAUAUGUGGAGGAAUACCAAUGGCGAAGGCAGCCCCCUGGGAUAACACUGAACG